AGACGCGGAUCCCCCAGGAAAAAAAAAGAGAAGGGGAGAAGUUCCACAGGAUCUCCUCCACCACAUUAUAUCUGUUGCAUGACAGACUCAGACCUUGGCCAAUCAGAGGCCCCCAUGUGCAGACGGAUUGCCAUAUCAAUGGAGCUACCUGACAAGCUGCUGAGUUUCUAAUGAAGGAGGCAAGAGGAGAUUGGCCUCCCUGCAAGUUUGGGAGCAGGGAUAAACCAAGGCUGGUGGCUGGGGCCUUGGGUUCCCACCAGGGAAUGCAGGGAGCUGCCGAUUACCACUUGUCUUGGGGCCCUGUGUGUGUGUGUGUAUUUGUGUGUGUGUGCGUGUGUGUGUGUUUGUUUGUGUGUGUGUGUAUGUGUGUGUGUGUGUGUGUGUGUGUGCGUGUGUGUGUGUGUGGUGGGGGAGGAGUCUGGAAGGGACACAUUGGGCCCAGAGUGCAGGAACCGGAGGAGGGUAUCUGGGCCUGUGGCCAGAGUCUGAUGGAGCAACACACAGCACUUUGCCAAUGGAGUGGGACAAUUUGAUGGAGUCCAGGCCAGGGACAGAACAUGAGGAAACAGGCUGCGGCAGAAAUGUAAUCAGCGGACGAGUUGUUG
ensembl:lncRNA